rnacentral:rRNA from 1 species
UCUUCCCGAAAAGAAAUGAACUACUAAAAAAUUUAAUUGUCUAUUAUAAAAGAAUUAUAAUUUUAAUUGUAGAAGUAAAAUGCUUACGCAUUUCUUAAUAACUGGUUAUCUUUACCUAUAAAUUUUAUAAUUGACUAAAAUAAUUUAAUUGAGGAUAAGCUCUAUUAAUAUUAAUUAAAAAAUCACUAAACUAAAAAGGAAUAAUAUUAUCCCAAACAUUAAAAUUAAUACUUAACCUGAAAAGAAUAUUAUUAAGAUAAAAGAUUUUUAUAAAUAACAAAAAACUACAAAUGAUACUGUUAAAAUAAGUAGAAAUUGAAUAUAACACACAAUUAUAUAUUUACUAAGAACUCAUCUAAUAUUUUAAACUGUUUAACAAAAACAUUUCUUUUAGAAAAAAUUAAAAGUAUACUCUGCUCAAUGCUAAGUAAAUAGCCGCAGUAUAUUGACUGUGCAAAGGUAGCAUAAUAAUUAGUCCUUUAAUUGAGGACUGGAAUGAAAGAGUGAAUUAAAAAUAUAAUAUUUAUUAAUUAUUCCUUAAAAUUUACCUUUUAGUAAAAAGGCUAAAAUAAUCUUUAUAGACAAAAAGACCCUAUAAAUCUUCACAUUUAAUAAUUUAAAACCUAUCCAAAUGUUUUGCUGGGGCAGCUAAAAAGUAAACGUUUUUAAAUUUUAAUUAAAUUUAUAAUACCUAGAACUUCUAAAAAUUAAUCAAGAUACUUUAGGGAUAACAGCAUUUUCUAUUUUAAAAGACCAAAUUGAUAAAUAGAAACGUGACCUCGAUGUUGGAUUAAAGCUCCUUUUUUUUGCAGAAGGAAAAAAAGGAGGUCUGUUCGACCUUUAAAUCUUUCCAUGAUCUGAGUUCAAAUCGGCGUAAGCCAGAUUGGUUUCUAUCUUGAAGAAAAAUAUAAAGUAAACUAGUACGAAAGGACCUUUUACU